rnacentral:tRNA from 1 species
UGUUCUGUGGCUUAGUUGGGCGCCGGACUUGCGAUACGGAGUCUUGGGUUCGAAAACCCACCAAAACAA